AUUGAACGCUGGCGGCAUGCCUUACACAUGCAAGUCGAACGGUAACAGGUUAAGCUGACGAGUGGCGAACGGGUGAGUAAUGUAUCGGAACGUGCCCAGUCGUGGGGGAUAACUACUCGAAAGAGUGGCUAAUACCGCAUACGACCUGAGGGUGAAAGCGGGGGACCGUAAGGCCUCGCGCGAUUGGAGCGGCCUAUAUCAGAUUAGCUAGUUGGCGGGGUAAAAGCCCACCAAGGCGACGAUCUGUAGCUGGUCUGAGAGGACGGCCAGCCACACUGGGACUGAGACACGGCCCAGACUCCUACGGGAGGCAGCAGUGGGGAAUUUUGGACAAUGGACGCAAGUCUGAUCCAGCCAUGCCGCGUGCGGGAAGAAGGCCUUCGGGUUGUAAACCGCUUUUGUCAGGGAAGAAACGCUCUGGAUUAAUACUCUGGGGUAAUGACGGUACCUGAAGAAUAAGCACCGGCUAACUACGUGCCAGCCGCCGCCGUAAUAC
rnacentral:rRNA from 1 species